AUUGAACGCUGGCGGAAUGCUUUACACAUGCAAGUCGAACGGCAGCACGGACUUCGGUCUGGUGGCGAGUGGCGAACGGGUGAGUAAUAUAUCGGAACGUGCCCAGUCGUGGGGGAUAACGUAGCGAAAGCUACGCUAAUACCGCAUACGAUCUACGGAUGAAAGCGGGGGAACGCAAGACCUCGCGCGAUUGGAGCGGCCGAUAUCAGAUUAGGUAGUUGGUGAGGUAAAGGCUCACCGAGCCGACGAUCUGUAGCUGGUCUGAGAGGACGACCAGCCACACUGGGACUGAGACACGGCCCAGACUCCUACGGGAGGCAGCAGUGGGGAAUUUUGGACAAUGGACGCAAGUCUGAUCCAGCCAUUCCGCGUGCAGGACGAAGGCCUUCGGGUUGUAAACUGCUUUUGUACAGAACGAAAAGGUCUCUAUUAAUACUAGGGGCUCAUGACGGUACUGUAAGAAUAAGCACCGGCUAACUACGCGCCAGCCGCCGCGGUAA
rnacentral:rRNA from 1 species